AAUCCAUGGUGAGGACACCUCCUCAACAAAUUCUUGAUUCUCUCCCAUGUAUCAUAAAGAGUCUCAAUAUCAAUUUGAACAGAGGAAAAGAUGUCACUCCUCAAUGAGAAU
rfam:Gossypium hirsutum cultivar TM-1 chromosome 16, whole genome shotgun sequence